rnacentral:misc_RNA from 1 species
AAAUAACAUUCGUGAAUUUUUUCGCGGAUUUGAGUUUUCCAGUAUUUUCAUUAUAAAAAAAAUGUUGGUAACUUUAAAAUUAUUUAUUACUUGGUACAAGUUGAAAACGUACUAUAUGUGUGGUUCGCUGACAACUUGUCCAUCUUAUAUAUUAUGCGCGCAUUUGGUUUUUUAAAACUCUAUGCGAGUAUAUAUUUUUU